AAUGUAAGAAGCAUCAUGGUGACUGGUGAUAAUUGGGGAACUGCAAGUUCCAUUGCUAGUCAAAUUGGCAUUGAAACUGUUGUUGCAGAAGCUAAACCUGAACAAAAAGCAGAGAAAGUAAAAGAGUUACAAGCGGAAGGUUAUGCUGUGGCAAUGGUAGGGGAUGGCAUCAAUGAUUCGCCGGCACUUGUAGCCGCCGAUGUCGGUAUGGCAAUCGGUGCAGGAACAGAUAUUGCAAUAGAAGCAGCUGAUAUAGUUCUGAUGAAGAGUAAUUUAGAGGAUGUGAUCACAGCCAUACACCUUUCCAGGAAAACAUUUUCUCGUAUUCGCCUCAACUAUAUUUGGGCAUUGGGGUAUAAUAUACUUGGGAUUCCAAUAGCUGCAGGGGCUCUAUUUCCAUCAACUGGAUUUCGUUUACCUCCAUGGAUUGCUGGAGCUGCCAUGGCUGCUUCCUCUGUUAGUGUUGUUUGCUGCUCACUCUUGUUAAAGAAUUACGAGAGACCCAAGAAGCUAGAAAACCUUGAGAUUGGUGGAAUACAGAUUGAAUAAUAGAUGAUGGGCGUUCUAUAUAUCCACUUAUAUAUCUAUGCAGGUUUGUUAUAUGUGUAUAUGUAUAGGUUAGGGAUGUGAAAUUUGGCAGACUAAAUAAUAAAGGUAUCAUGCAAAUACUGGUUUCACUAGGCUGCCAAUUUAUGUACAUAUAUUUGGCGUUAUGAUUUUCAGGAUAUAACUGUAGUUUCAAAAUUAGGCGAUCUUUGCAUCAUUGCAUGAUGAAAGGUUUUUUUUUUCUUCUAUAAUACUAAUUUUAUAAAUUAGUAAAAUAUAUUUAAAUUAUUAAAGUAGUAAUAAAAAUAUAUAAAUAAAUUAAUGCAUGAAGUUUAUUUAGUUGGAUUCUAUUAGUGUUUGAGUUGAUAAUUUAUCAGUAAAAGUACGAUGGAAUCUAUUGAAUUUAGGAUGGACUACAUUUUGGACUCUUUAUUGAAAAAUAAGUAAAUUAGUCCUUAUGCAUUUAGAAACGCGCAAAUUAACCUUUCCAUUAAAUUUUAGCUGUUAAAUAAUUAUGUGAAACGUUAAAUCCAUGCUCAAAAUUAAGUUUUUAUAGGUAAAGUAUAAAAAUUGUCACCCAAUUGUGACUUUCAUUAUAUUUUGGUGACCCAACUAUUAAUUUCGAUUUAGUCACUAAACUUUUCGAAUUAAAUAUCUUAGUCACUCUAAGCUUUUGUGAUUUUUUUUAUUGGUCUAAUAACAAAUUUAGCCCACUAAUAUUUACACAUCUAUCAUUUUGAUCCUAAAUAUAAAAUAUUCAACAAAUUUAGCCAUCAAUGUUUACAAAAUUUGUCAUUUUAGUUCUAAUUUAAAAAAAAAUCAAUGAAUUUGGCCCUCAAUAUUAUAAAAUUUGUCAAUUUAGUCCUAACUGUGAAAAUUAAUAUUUAUAAGAUGGGAAAGUCAAGAGACGAAUAUGAGGAAGCAGGCAGGGGCCUUGACCCCCUAAAAUUUUUUUUCAAUUUAGUAUUCUUAUAAAUAAAGAAACUAUAAAUUAAUAUAUAAUGAACUUACAUUUUGACCCAUUCAAAUGAAUUUUUUUAAUUCAAUUCUCUUAUAAAUAAAGAAAAUAAUAAGAUUGUACUUUAACCCCUCAAAAUAAAAAUGUUUAGUCCCUUCAAAAUGAUCAAAUUAUAAAUUAAUAUAUAAUAAAUUUAUAUUUUAAUCUAUAAAAUGUUAUGGUUCAAUUCCGACUCUGUAAAUUUGUCAUCGCUGAACCGUAAAUCAAAUUGAUUCACCAAGAUAGAGUAGGAAAAGGAAAUCAAUUUGGCUAUGUCGAUUACAUCGUAGUGACCAAUCAAUCAUCUUUCCUUAAAAGUUUAUUAAAUUGAUUUUUAUUUUAUUUUGAUGAAAUAAGCACAAUAUUCUAGGUUUGCAAAGCCUUAGACUUUUGAGAAUGAUAUUAAUAGAACAAAUGGUAAAUUCAGCAAUUGGUUAGAGCAGUAAACUAAAUAGUUAUUCACUUAGAUAUCUUAAGUUGGGAUCUUAAAUCAAAGAUAUUAUUUUUAUUUUUAUCUUUAAUUUUAUACAAAAAGUUAACCACGUUAGGGAAUGUAACGCCCCAAUUUUCGGGAAUCCUGUGAAUGUUGGCAUAGGUUUAAUUAUGUUAAUGGGCCUCUAGAAAGCCCAAGCUUAAGAUAGAACCCAGUAAUUUUAGUUAAUUUUUGUUCCAUAAGAAAAAGGGGGUGAAAUUAUGAAAUAGAACCUAUGUGAAAAUGUUUGAAAAUGCUAUAGGCUAAAUUGAAGUGGCCAAAUAAAUAGGAGUGCAAAAUAGGAGGAUUUCCAUGACAAACCUCCUAUUUUACAUGAAGUGGUCAGCCAUCAUGUUGUUGUAGACAAAAUGUGCACUUGAUAUCUAUAAUUUAUGGUACAAAUUGAUACAAAUUGAUAAUAGGUUAGGUAAAUGUUCCAUGAUAAUGGGUUAGGUAAAUGUUUCAUGAUAAGAAUUUCAUGUCUUUUGUAUUAAAGAAUUAAAUGGAUGAAAUAUGAAGUUUUAUUAAAAGAAAAAGGGGUGAAAAGAAUAAAGUUUUGUCCAUCUUUGUUCAUCAUAGCUGAAAGUUAGAGAAGAGAAAGGAGAGGAGAAAGCUCUUGAGUAUUCGGUCAUUAGGAGGAGAAAAAUUGAAGGUAAGUUCUUGGUACCUUGCUUCUAUUUUGAGGUUCAUGAGUUCUUCUUGAUUCUACCUUAACUUUUGAAGUAUAUUUUGAUUUUUAGUUGUGUUGUGAGCAUUUGGUCAUGAAUUAAAAUGAAGGAAAUGGUUGUUGUUUCAUGUUCUUUUGAUGAAAACUGGAAGAUAUGUGAAGUUGAGCCAAACAAAUGAGCAUGCAUGUGCCUUAGAUGCUAAAGGGAAAAAUCGGCUAACAUGUUGUGCUUUAAAAUGAUGAAAUGGAGAUUAUGCUUAAGUAAAAAUCAUAGAUAUGUGAUGGUUGAUUGGUGAUAUACAUGUUUAAAUAACAUGCAUGCAAGAUAGGUGUAUGAAAGAGUGAUUUGGUAAUAAAUCUGCUUGGGACAACAGCAGUAACGUGACUUUGGAAAAUCACCAUAAAUUGUGGGAGAUGAAUUAGAAGCUGAAUAAAUUAUGUAAUUAAAGCUUAUUGAGUCUAGUUUCUAAUGAAAUAAACAAGAACAUAUUUUGAAUUCUGUACAAUGAGAAAUUUGAUUCGUAAUGAAGAGUGGUCAGAUUAGUCAAACAGUGAAAUAUGGGAAACUUUGAGAAAAAUCUGGUAUUGAUUGGCUAAACCAAAAAUUCUGAAAAUUUUAUGGAUAGAAGAUAUAUGAGUCUAUUUUCAGGGAAAAUUAACGGAACUUGAUUUGGAGUUUCGUAGCUCCAGUUAUAAAUAAUUUAGUGACUGUUACUCAGGAAGACAGCUUGCAGUGAAAUUAUGAUUAUGUGGUAAACAUCGACAAAAAUUUGUUAAUGAGUUGCUUAUUGAUUUCUUAUAAGCUUACUAUGAUCUAUAGGUGUGGUUGGCCGAAUAUUGUAAGGGGUUAAUACGUAGUUUGUAUUUGAAUAGUUAGAUUAACGUGUUAGUAAUCCAAUUGUAGGCGGUUCGUGUGUGGAUUUCGUCAGCAUAUCGUCGCAAACAGGUGUGUAACUAACACCCUCUUUCUUAGUCUGGAUCGGCAAAAGUCGAAAAGCCAAAAUGCCGAAAAUCGGUAUUUUGUAGAUUUGCGAGUGUGCGAAUGCUCGUGAGGUAAAUCGAUUAAUGUUUUUGGUAAACUGCAAAAUUUGGAUUGCAAAGUGCAUGAUUUCUGUGCCCUCGAUAUUUUUGGGCUUAAUGGGCCAAAAUUGGAAUGAUGGGCCAACGGGCCCAAUUCGGUAAGAACCCUCGGUACGUGAUUCUGUAGUACGUGAAAGGUAGGAAUAUGCAUGAAAAACCCUAAAAUAGAUAAAUUACUGAAAUACCUUUAAAAGUAAAAAAUUUACAAUUUUAUCCCUAGAAGAUAAAUUAUCGAAAUACCCCUAGGGUUAAAUUGACUUAAAUGCAUGUUUGACUGUUGUUAUUUACUGCAUGCCAUGUUGUUAUUAUCUGAUGCAUGGGACCGGGAUAUUGACGGAGGAAGUACUGAAAGUGGCUUGUCCACGUACUGGAAGCUUUGCCUCAAUUUACUGUUAACUGAGCAGUAAUGCUGCAACUGUGGAGUGUUGGGCUGGGUGGGUUGAGCUAUUCCCCACAUGGAGUGUAUGGCUGGUACGGGUGGAGUGUAGUGGUUGGUGGGUUGAGUAGUCUCCCCAAAUGGGCUUGCAUAUGUUAUUGAUGUUGUAUGUAUUUUGAAAUGGGCCUAUGGGCCAUACUGUUAUCUGAAUAAGGGGCUAAGGCCCAGUUUAUUGUAAUCUGAAAAGGGCUCUGGCCCAGUACCACUGUUACCUGAAUGGGCUUAGGCCCAAUAGGCUUGAGCUGACUUGGGCUUUGAAUGGGUUUUCCUUACACACUGAGUUUCCCCAAACUCACCCCUUUUAUUUUCAUCUACGCAAGAAAUCCCCAACCAUAGUGGGCUUGGAGCUGUGAGGGAAUUCGGAGUGGCCACCCGUUCUGAAAGUUUGAUUUUCUUCUGGUGAACUGGACAUCUUUUUAUUUACGUUUGAAGUUUUGGGUUUUUAAAUGUAAUAAGGCCGCUUAAUUAUUUUUAAUGGUUUUAAUAUGUAUUACUAAGAUAGGUAUUACUUAUUUUAACUGUUGAAAUUGGAUAGCUUUAGGGCGCGUUUUCAAAAACAACAGUUGAUUUCAAAAUAACACAACAACAAGUAAAGCUUCCGCAACGAAAGUAUUUUCCAAAAUUAAUCACUUUUCCUAAAAAUGACUUAAUCAAAUCGGUUUCCUAGAAAUAUCCAUGACGUUAAGGUGUGGUAAUGGCAGUAUGCAUGUCUAGGAUUGGAUCCGAAGGGAGCUUGGUACUUAAGCAGUCCGAUGGACUCACCACCUCUUUUUCGGUUUCCUACCUGGUGCACAACUUCCAUUCACUUUAACCUAUAAUGAAAUUAUCUUUUAAAACACUGAGUAGGUUUUUCUGGAUCAACAAUAUAAAAUAUUUUUAACGCUUCGAUGUGGCAUGUCGGAUCCAGCCAUAACGUCUGGGCCGGAUUUGGGGUGUUACAGGGAAAGUAUCAUAACACAAGAAAUGUGUUUUCAUUUAAAAAAAUAUUUUAGUUUAAAAAUUUACCAUAUAUUCGUGUUAAUUUGUUUUAUUAUUUGUAUUUCCUAUUAUUGAUUUAAUUUAAUUAUAAAUAUAAUUUUAAUUAAUUAUAGUUUUAUAAUUUUAGUAUAUAUCUACGCAUAUUCCAAUAUAUGUACAUUUAGAGAGUAUAUUAUUUAAGUUAAAUAUCACACAAAAAUAUUGAUGUAAAAAUAGAGUACACUUAUAUAUGCAUAAUCUUGUAAUCAUAUAAAAAAAUUUGAUGGUUUGGAUGAAAUUACCUGGAUUGCCGGAAGGCAUGUAUGCAAAAAACUUGCUCAAGGUCAUUGGAAAUGUGAUUGGUCCCAUUGCAAUAAUUGACCAGAAUAGCAAUAACAAUUCCAGGGGGCAGUUCGCAAGCCUCGCAGUUUUUAUAGAUUUGGGAAAACCUUUGGUCUCACGAAUUGAUGCGAAAAUACAGAGGGUGGUGUAUGAAUCAUUACCUGAAGUUUACUUCGAUUGUGGGAGAUUUGGACACAACGGUGAUAUGUGCCCUUUCAGACCUGGGAAAGGGGAUAAUACUGAAGGGAAAGUGAAGGGUUCUACUGGUAAGGAAACGUCAACUCAGGAACAGUUGGAGGAAGAGAGAUUUGACCCGUGGAUGUUAGUUGAACAGCGGCAACGACGAAGCUCUAGACCGACGGCAAACUCAAAGGAUGGCAGUGUCAAACCGACGACUGGAGGGUCCCGAUUUGGUGUUCUUAGCGAUAAUUACAGAAGUAUAGAUGGUAGUGAAUCGAUGAGAUUCAAUGAAUUUGAGGAAAUUAGGAUUUUGAGAUAAAAAUAUGAAAAAAAAAAAUCUGUAACACCCAUAACCUAUGUUCAUCGUUAGAAUAGAGUUUCAAAAUAUCAGCGAUCAAACAGACAUAAUUUUCAAACAUUUGUAUCAUAUAAUAUUCAAGUUAGAAACUAAUCAAAUUCAUACCUAAUUUAAUCCAUUUUAGCUAGUUUUUAAACACUUAAACAUCAAUUGAACAUGCCAUAAUAAAACUUCAAACAUAAACACAUAUUCACAUGUAUAUAUCAAACCAUUAUUAAAUUUAUAACCUCAUUUACAAUCAAACCACAAAAUAACUAUUAUUUAGACACCAUUUUUGGAUUUAAAAAUGGAAAUCGACUUUGAUUUUGAAAAUGAAAACGAACAUAGAAGUCAUCACCAAUAUUUUUGUUUAGGUGUGAUCAGAUCACCAAGAAUUUUGGUCAUUUUAAUAAAACAUUUCGAUUUACUAAAAUAACGAUUUUGGUCUACAAAAUUUGAGAAAACGAGUUCGAAAGUCGAUUACGUACGAGAAUAAAUUAACACCCUUGUAACGCUCAAAAUUAGUACCUAAUUAAUUAAGUGUUAUCCUUAUGUCAAGAUUUUAGAAAAAAAUUUGAAAUACGAUUCCCUUUUAAAACAUUUGUAUGAUUCAAGUUGAUCGUCAAAAUUCUCUCGUUUUAAAGGUAUACAACAUCAUAUCAAGCACGAUUGGACACAAUCCUUUAUACCUUCAAAAAUACGAUUGAUUUUUAACUUUCAAAAGCUCGUACGUCAAAAAUUAUAAAAGAAUAUUCAAAUAUUUAGUCUGACGAAAAAUCAUACCCAACACGAUAGGACAUGAUUCCCUAAAUUUCCAAACAUUGAAUACUGCCUUAUUUUAAAAUCUUUGGGUAAAGAAAAUCAAAAAUUAACUCAAAAUCCAUUUAUUUGUUUUAAAAUAAGAUGGUAUAAUUAAAGGGUUACAAAGGAACAUUUGUAUGAAGAAGGAUUAAUAAACACGAGAUAAUACACACACAUAAAGUGCAAUAAACCACAAUCAAUAAAUCCAACAAUUAAAUACAACUAUUCUAAUAAAAAUGUGACCAAAUUUUUAAGCAUGGAUGGAAAACAAUAAAUAAAACAAUGAAUAAAUAAUAUACAACAACAAUAAAUAUGAAACAAUAUAAAACAAACAACAAAGCAUGUACAAAACAAAAUGAAAAUUAAAAGUCAAUGUGGGGUGAGACAAUUUAAAAUAGUGAUGAACGAAUGACCACAUAAUAUACAUGAUAUAUUAAUGGAUGAUUUGAUGAAUUUGAAAUAAUUUGGGUAAAAAAAAAAACUAGGGAUAUAUAUAAUCAUUGAAAUACAUAUUAUAUAAUAAAGAUUUUUAAAUCGAAUAGUAUACGAAGUGUUAAAAAACAUUUGUUAAAAUACAUACAACAAAGGAAAAUUCAAAUAAUAUAUAAAAUAUGAAAGGAUAGCAAAAAUGCAUAAUAAAAUAUAUUAGGAAAUACACAUAAUAAGUUUACAAAACAUAUAUCUACAUAAGUAAAUUUAGAAGUAAUUAUUUGUAAAAACAAUAUGGAAUUAAUAAUGCAUAUAAAAUUAACUUUUCCAUAAAUUAUAUAUAUAAGAAAUUUUAAAAAAUAUAAUCAUAUAUACAAAAGAAAAAAAAACUAUAUUUACAAAAUACAUAAAUUUAGUGAUGUAUAUGGAUCAAACAUAUAUUCCAAUAAUAUAUAUAUAUAUACACAGAGAAUUUUGAAACAAAUUUUAUAUGACAUAAUUUUACAUAUAACCAAUUAAUUUAGAUUAAUGAUACAUAUAAAUAAUACAAACAUAAAUAUAAUAAUAUGUGGAGGUAUAUGAUAUAAUUUUAAAUAUGGUUAAAAAAAAUUAUACACGUAAAUAAACUUAAAGGACAGUAUACAUACAUCGAAAAUUUUUACAUAUAAUGACGUGAAAUAAAUAACACGGGAGUAAAAAAUAAUUUAAUAUGAAUUAUAUAUCAUAAUAUGAAGUUUAAUACCAUGUAAACCUUCAAACAUAAAAAUGUACAUAUAAAAGAUUUUUACAUUCAUGAAUCGUAAAGUUAAACAAAUUAAAACAUACAUACAUAUAUAUAUACACUAAUGAAAGUGCUUAAACAAUGCAAGGUUAAUGAAAUAAUCCAUGAUAAUAUGUCCAAAGAUAUAUAGCAAAUGAGUUUCUUUGAAAAAAAAAUAAAAAAUAAUAUAAAGAAUAAAAACUUGAGCUAAAAAACUCAAUUGAAGCAAAAAUAAAAUUAAACGGAUAAUUUGCAAAUAAAUAACAACUGUUAAACAACCUGAAGGACUAAAUAGGGAUUAAAAAAAAAUAAACCAUCUAAUGUGGACUAAAUUGAGUAUACGCGCAAAUUCUAGAAAUAAUUUAAAAGAAUCAAAGAAAAUAUAAAUAGGGCCUAAAUAGAUGGCGGCACAAAUGGGGAGGACUAAACGCAAAAAUUCCCCUUUUAAAGUGAGAAUGCGUGGAUCAAGCCAACGCAUUGACUUCCCUCCCCCCUCUUUUAAUGGUGCCUUCUGAAUUUUCAUUAAAACCUUUAUCAUUAUUAUUAUUUUUUAUUAUUAUUUUUUUUUACCUUGCAAACCCCAAAAGUCUCAACCCCCUCUGUUACGGUUUCACCCAAACAUGACGCCGGACCACCACCAUAUCUGGUUGCCGACGGUGCGAAAAAAUGGCCUAAGACCAUGACCACGAAGCCCUGGUAAGUGAGCUCCCUUUCUUUGUUCUCAUACAUCAAUAAAAAAGAUAAAAAAAGAAGAUGAAAACAACUUGAAAUCCUGUUUUGCUUUAGAAAAUAAAAGGGAGAGUUUUAUCACACAAGAAAGCAAAGGGCCUCAACCCCAUUUCGGGUCCGAAUCCAAAGACGGGGGAAAUCUCCGAUGACACGGCCACGAGGUAAGUCCCUCUCCUCUCUUAGUUGCGUGUAAAAAAAGAAAAUGUCACAAGAAAAUCAAAAUAGACUAAAAAUAAAGAAAAUCCAGAAAUCAAAUCACCUUUUUGAAAUAGUCUUCUUUUUGGAUUAAUACUCUCUGCUUCUUUUAUUUCCAAAAAAUCCCCCCUUUUUUGCAUUCGCUUUUUUCUUUGGCUUUAUAGCCAAGAAUAUUACAAAUACAUUAUCUAUGUUCUACUGCUUCUGCUUUGCGUGUUUCUCUUUCGUUUUGUAGGGCUAAGCGGGAUCAACGGAAAGGGCGCAGGUAGUGGUACAGGCGAUGGGACGGGGCACCUAUCUCGGGCGUUGAACGCGCUGACAGCACGUGAGGAGCAGUGCCUAAUGUGCUGGUAUGAAACCCUAGGGUUUCCUGGUUUAGUAUUUUGGGCCUAUUGGGGCCAAUAGGAAUUGGGUCAGAUUUUUUUAAAAUGGGUUUGGGUUUAUUGGGCUUGAAUUUGUAAAAUAGACUGUUAACAAUUAUUUUUUGAGUUGUUGAGCCUCGGACAAAUUUGGGCCUCUACAAAUAUAAUAGACACAAUUGAAUAUUUAAAAUCACAUUUAUUCAUACUAUGACAUUAGCCAUACAAUACUCAAUUCAUGAAUACAUCAUUAUAUACCAUAAUCAAUUUUCAUUACUUACUAUAUAAUAGUUUUCCAUUCCACAUAUUAUUUAAAUAAUGACACUAUCCAUUCUACAUUCAAUUCAUGAGUUCCAUGUAUUUACAAUAUAUUUCACACUAUUUCAGUUCAUUAUUUUAAUUCCAUUGUGAGAUGUUGGCUUGAAGAAGACAUUAAACAGUCAUUGCUAACUGAUGAUAAUUUUCAUUAGGAUGAUGCUCGUUUUAUUUUUUAAACUUAUGUUCAACAAAAAAAAAGAAAAAAAAAAGAUGAGAUUUAAUUCAUUGAUAUUGUGAAAAAAUAAAUAUAAUUUUUUUUAAAAUUAAUUAAUAAAUUAAAUAUAACAUGAAUUUUUGUAAGAAAACAAUAUGAAUUGAAUUAAUGAAAAUAUAUUUUUAUAAAGAAUUUGUCAUAAAUUAAUUUUUUUCCAUAUAUAAACAAAACAUAAUAAAAUUUUUGUCCAAAAUUGUUUCUAUAUUUUUAUGAGGAAUUUGUUUUGAAUUAAAUUUUUUAAAUGAGUUAUACACGGUAGAUUAUUAUGGUAACAAAUGACAAUUUAUAAAUUGUGCCAUAUAAGAAUUGUUUCCUUUUGUGUAAUCUCAUAUUAUUAUAAUAUAUAUAAAAAAUAUUUGUUAUUAUGUCAGUGGAGUUUUUAGACUUCAAAUGCAAUGUUAGGGAGUUGAUAAGUGUUUUAUAUAGGGUAUAUUAGAUAUAUUAAAUAUGCUCUAAGAUUUUGUACUCCUCAAAUAUUUAGAAUUUAGUCCUUUUACUUUUAUUAUAAGACAUUUACUCUCUCUACUUUUUAGAUUUAAAAAAGCAAGUUGAAUUGUUAACACCUUUAAAUUUUUUUUUGUUAAAUUUAAGAUCAUUAUAUUGUCAUUUUUUUUUAGUUACAUGGUUAUCAAAUGAAUUUUUUUUUUAAUUUCAAAAUAUCAUACUAAUAAAAUUAACCAAAAAAAUAAGAUGUUAACUAUUGGAUUUAAAUUUGAAAUAUAAAAAAUAGAAUAAUUAAAUUUCAGAAAAUAAAAAUAUAAAAAUUAAAAUUAAAAUUUAUUAGACUUAUAUAGUAUAUUUGAACAAAUUUUAAACCAAGAAAUGCAACAGUUUGAACCAAUUGAGAAAUGGGCAAAGCGCAAAAUGUUCCGUUCACACGCCGAAAAGUACAAAACUAGGGGACGUAGCCCUGAUGCGAAUACGGCCCCACUUUAUCCGAUGUGCGAGCAUAUGAAAAUUCCACGUUGUAAAAUUUGCCUUCACGGUCCCCAGACGACGUUUUGACCGUCUUCUCAAAAUCCUAUAAAUUACGCUGCAUGGUACCCUUUUCAACUUGUAUUAGCCUUGUUUGAAAAAUAAAUAAAUUAAAUCUUGAUAUAGUUGCUUUGCUUUUGCUUCUCUUAAACUGAGUUCCAAGCAAAACCCUUUUCUGUUUUUCGUCUGAUUUCGCUAAGGUCUUCUUUGGGUAGUUUGAGAUUUGAGUUUUUCAUCAUACUAUGUCUUCUCAAUCUUCUAAGGAAUCAGUUCAUGAUUUCACUGUUAAGGUUCAUUUUGGGUUUAAUUCAAAUUUAUACCCCCAUAGAUUAAAUUUAAAUUGUCUUUCAUUUAUCUCACUGGGUUUUGUUUUUUUUUUUUGGCUGUUCAGGAUGCAAGAGGGAAUGAUGUUGAUGUGGCAAGAAGUUUGACGAUGGCGACAAAGUUGUUAGCUUCGUCAUGCGUAAGGAAGGAGAGUUCUGGGGAUUUGUCACCAAGGCCUCAUUAUCCAUCGAUUCCCAAAUACCCAAAAGGGGUUACGGCACAAGAAACGAGCUUGCAGGGAUCAGAGGCGAAAGCUAUGCUUUCAGUGAUGGGGAUGACAUGUUCGGCCUGCGCUGGCUCCGUCGAGAAGGCUAUUAAGAGGCCUCCGGGAAUUAAGGAAGCUGUUGUUUGAACAACAAGGCGCAAGUUAUGUUCUACCCAAGUUUUGUUAACGUAAGUUUUUCUUAAUUUAUGUUUAGAUAAUUGAAUUUCAGAACAACUAGCUUUUAAUUCAUCAAGUCGGAUAUUCAAAUUAAUUGCAGCCUUCUAAAGAUAUGCAUGAAUAGGACAAGAAAAAUGUAAACCUUUUUUUUGUUUGUUUGUGCAGUGAAACAAUUGUUUUCACUAAGCAACAAAAACAAGAUUUGGUUCUCUGCUUUGACAAGUUUGACUUUAUUGACUUUAUUUCCACUUACCUUUGCUUGGGGAGGAUAAGGAAGAAACAACUUAAAGUAGGCAUGAUUAUGAACCCUUUGAUUUUGACUUCUAUUGAUGCUUUACCGACAAAUCUACAGGUUGCUGCAAUUUGUUUUUGUGAAUGGGGCCAGCUUGGUAGUGAGCCAUGAAACCCCACCUUACGUGUUAUAUACUUAAAUCCCAAGUACCACCCUUCAAAUUUUAAGUCUAUUCAAAUUUGGCUUCUCAUAUUGUCAAUCCAAUGAUUAGGAUAUUUAUAUAUUUCAUCAAUUUAACUUCUAUAUUUUUUAAAUUGUUUCAUUGUCUCACGUUUCGUCUAGGUUAAAUUGUUUUUUAUAUUAGAUUUUUAUAUAAAAAUAUAAAAAGACAGUAGCGUCUAAUAUUUUUUAUUUUUUAAAUGAAUUUUUUUAAAUAAAUUUUCAAUUGAGUUUAUGUUUAGUCUAUUGUAUUACUAACUCUAUCAAUAACUUAAAUAUAAUAACUAUAGAUAUAAUAUUUUAAAUUAUUUUUAUAUAAAAAUAUAAAAUAUAAAAAAUAAAAAUAAAAACAUUAUUAUAAUAAUAUUUGGUAAAUUUUUUAUUUUUAAUAAAUUUUAAUUGAAUUGAUGUUGGAUUAAUUUGUGUUAUUAAUUCUGUCAGAAGUUUAAAUAUAUUACGCAUAGAUAUAAUAUUUAACUUUUUAAGUGAGCUGAGGGAAAACUAAGGGGAAAAAAUAUACUUCUACAUCAAGAGCUAUGCUUCAUGUUGUUUACUGUUGGAUGCUAAUUUCCAAAUGACAAAAAGGGUUGGACUGAAAGUUUUACUACAGCUUUGCUCAUUGUUACAGAUGCAAAAAGAUAUUACUUGAUGACGUUAAGUGAAUGAAGUAAAGCUUAAAAAUGUAUCCCACUAAUUGUUCUUGCAGUUUCAUUAGAAGGUGCAGGAUUUAGCUCCUAACUUAUUAGAUGCAUGUUGGACUUGAAUCUGUCUUGUUCUUUUGUUUUUUUUUAUCUUGAACAAGGUUUUGAAAUAUUAAACAUUUAUAGGAAGAGAGCAUUCGUGAGGCCAUUGAAGAUGCUGGAUUUCAAGCUGCAUUGAUCCAAGACGAGACCGACUAUAAAUCCGUUCAAGUCUGCCGUAUUCGGAUCAACGGAAUGACAUGCACUUCUUAUCGACGGAAUGACAGGCAGCUCCCGGUGUGCAAAAGGUCCAAGUGGCUUUAGCAACCGAAGAAGCACAGAUUCAUCAUGAUCCCAAAAUCAUAACCUGCAAUCAACUCAUGGAGAAAAUAGAAGAGACCGGAUUCGGAGCCGUACUUGUUAGUACUGGAGAAGACAUGAGCAAGAUCAAUCUCCGUAUCGACGGUGUAAGGACGGUUAACUCGAUGAGAGUGCUUGAAAAUUCCCUUCAAGCACUCCCUGGUGUUCAAGCUGUACAAAUAUCCCCUGAACUCAAAAAAAUUGCAGUCUCAUAUAAACCAGAUAUGACAGGACCAAGAAACUUCAUCAAAGUAAUAGAUUCAACAGGUAGUAGCAGGCGUUUUAAGGCAACGAUAUAUUCCGAAGGUGAAGGUGGUGGAAGGGAAUCUCAUAGAAAAGAAGAAAUUAAGCAGUACUUCAGAUCCUUCCUAUGGAGCUUGAUUUUCACUACUCCUGUAUUUUUAACCUCCAUGGUUUUCAUGUAUAUCCCUGGAAUUAAACAUGGAUUGGACACCAAAGUAGUGAAUAUGUUAACUAUAGGUGAAGUCAUAAGAUGGGUGCUAUCAACUCCGGUUCAGUUCAUAAUAGGGAGACGGUUUUACACCGGUUCUUAUAAAGCAUUACGCCAUGGGUCCGCAAAUAUGGAUGUUUCAAUCGCAUUGGGGACUAAUACAACUUACUUUUAUUCUGUAUACACUGUGAUAAGAGCUGCUUCUUCUCCAGAUUUUGAAGGUACUGAUUUUUUUGAAACAAGUGCAAUGCUUAUCUCAUUCAUUUUACUUGGUAAGUAUCUUGAGGUUUUAGCUAAAGGAAAAACAUUAGAAGCCAUUGCUAAGCUUAUGAACCUUGCACCUGAGACAGCAAUGUUGUUGAGUUUAGAUGAAGAAGGAAAUAUGAUAGGUGAAGAAGAAAUCGAUAGUCGAAUGAUACAAAAGAAUGAUAUUAUCAAAAUCCUACCUGGUGCAAAAGUAGCUUCAGAUGGUUUUGUUUUGUGGGGGCAAAGUCAUAUAAAUGAAAGCUUGAUAACCGGAGAAGCACGACCGGUGGCAAAAAGGAAAGGCAAUACGGUUAUCGGAGGUACGGUUAAUGAGAAUGGAGUAUUGCAUAUUAAAGCAACAAAGGUUGGUUCAGAAAGUGCACUUGCACAGAUUGUUCAUCUUGUUGAAUCUGCUUAAAUGGACAAAGCUCCUGUACAGAAGUUUGCUGAUCGAAUUUCCAAAUAUUUCGUGCCUCUGGUGAGUCAAGUCAAGAGAGUCCUUUUAGGAUUGUUUCCAUAAAGUUGGUUUUAAGCUACUUGUUCUUGUUGUUGUCUUCAACAGGCGAUCAUGCUUUCGUUUUCAACGUGGCUUGCAUGGUUUUUAGCUGGAAAGUUCCAUGGUACCCUGAAUCAUGGAUACCAUCUUCGAUGGAUAGUUUUGAGCUGGCACUUCAGUUUGGAAUUUCAGUGAUGGUCAUAGCUUGUCCAUGUGCCUUGGGGCUUGUAACCCCUACUGCUGUUAUGGUCGGUACUGGUGUCAGUGCAUCUCUAGGUGUAUUAAUCGAAGGUGGUCAAGCAUUGGAAGGUGCACAUAAGGUAAAUUGCAUUGUAUUCGACAAGAGAGGAACUCUCACGGUCGAAAAGCCGGUCGUUGUUAACACAAGACUGUUGAAAAACGUGGUGUUACAUGAAUUCUACGAGCUUGAUGCUACAACUGAGGCAAAUAGUGAGCAUCCUUUAGCCAAAGCCAUUAUCGAGUAUGCCAAGAAGUUCAGAGAAGAUGAAGAGAACCCUGCAUGGCUAGAAGCACGUGACUUCGUCUCUAUAACAGGACAUGGAGUGAAAGCCAUUGUUAGGGACAAGGAAAUAAUUGUGGGAAACAAGAGCUUAAUGUUGGAAAACAACAUUGUUAUUCCAGUUGAUGCUCAAGACAUGUUAACCGAAACGGAAUCGAUGGCUCAAACCGGUAUUUUAGUAUCAAUAGAUGGUGAAGUAACGGGAGUUCUCGCCAUAUCCGAUCCAGUGAAACCAGGUGGACAAAAAGUUAUUUCCAUUCUCAAGUCAAUGAAUGUAAGAAGCAUCAUGGUGACUGGUGAUAAUUGGGGAACUGCAAGUUCCAUUGCUAGUCAAAUUGGCAUUGAAACUGUUGUUGCAGAAACUAAACCUGAACAAAAAGCAGAGAAAGUAAAAGAGUUACAAGCGGAAGGUUAUGCUGUGGCAAAGGUAGGGGAUGGCAUCAAUGAUUUGCCGGCACUUGAAGCCGCCGAUGUCGGUAUGGCAAUCGGUGCAGGAACAGAUAUUGCAAUAGAGGCAGCUGAUAUAGUUCUGAUGAAGAGUAACUUAGAGGAUGUGAUCACAGCCAUACACCUUUCUAAGAAAACAUUUUCUCAUAUUUGCCUUAACUAUAUUUGGGCAUUUGGGUAUAAUAUGCUUGGGACCCCAAUAGCUGCAGAGUCUCUAUUUCCACCAACUAGAUUUCGUUUACCUCUAUGGAUUGCUGGAGCUGCCAUGGUUGCUUCCUCUGUCAGUGUUGUUUGCUGCUAACUCUUGUUAAUGUUAGAGUUAGUUAUGAAUUGUUAUUCUGGUGCAAUAGUUGUUAAGCCGUUAAGGGAAAGUUAGUCAGUAGCAGUUCUCUAUAAAUAACAGUUGUAAAGUUCAAAGAAAAGCUGGAUAUGAAAUACACAGUAUACUAUCUCUUUCAUUCGUUUCUUCUUUAGUUAAGAUAGUUCUUAUCUUAGGUUUUAUCAUGGUAUCAGUCGCCUAGUUCCUGGUGCUUGUGCUUCUUUUCGUCUUACGCUCAUGGAUCCAUUUAUUGCAUCUCCGACUGGUGGUGCUACUGCUCCUUUCUCCAUUUCGCGUUUAGUGCAUAGUUUUCCUCGUCAUGAAACAAUUAAUUUGGAUAAGACGAACUGUGUUCAAUGGCAACUUCAAGUUCGUUUGAUUGUUGAAGCUAUGAUCUUCAAGGUUUCUUGGACGGUUCUGUUCCUGCUCCGCCGAAGGUGGUGGCUACACCGGAUGGUACUCUCGCUCCGAAUCCGGAAGCGAUUCUGUUCCAACAACAGGGAUAAGUUGCUGGCAUCGUGGCUUCUCUCUACGGUUAAUUCUUCUCUGCUCUCUUAUUUCAUUUCUACUAAAACUGCGAGUGAUAUUUAGAGUGCUGCGAGUCAUUUGUUUGCAGCUUCAUCCAUCGAGAAGGUGUCUCAGAUCCGGCAUGAUCUCCAUGCGGUCCAGAAAGGUGGAUUCGCUGUCAAAGAGUAUGUAUCACGCAUCAAGACUCUGUGUGCUCUUCUAGAGGUGUCGGGUUCGGCUGUUUUUGAGGCAGAGAAAGUGGAGGUACUCCUUGAUUGUAUUUCUUCUGAUUUCGAUUCUGUGUUUAUGUUAGUUUCAGUCUCGUCGGAGCCGUUAUCGUUUCAAAAACUUGUUGAUAUAUUGAUGGCCAUUGAGAAUCGCCAAACACAGGUUGCAAGGGAUGUCCCAAUGGUUACGCAUGUUGUUGAAACUCCUGUUGCGGUUGCUGAGUAUGAUUCUCGUGUUGUGCGUGGUGAGAGGUCAUCGACUGGAUCUCGCGGUGGUCGUGGUUUCCAUCCUAGAGUGCAGUGUCAGAUAUGUAAUCUGCUCGGCCAUGUUGCGCAGUGCUGCUACUAUCAGUUUGACAGAGAGUUUGAUACUUCCUCUUUUAGUCAUGAUGCUCUGGCCGUUGGUGGUGAGUAUCGUUCUCGGGCGUUCCCUCCGGUGCAACGUGUUGAAGGAAGGCAGUGGAUAUGGCAGAAUCAUUCUGCUACGCCUGCGUUUGGAUCUGCAUAGCAUGGUAGGCAGUAUGUGUCGACUGGGCAGCAUGGUGGGCCAUAUGCGCCCCGUGUGUAUGCACCUGGGCCUUAUGCCCGUCCUAGUAGGCAAUUUGUAGAUCGUGGGGCCCAGUAUGAUCUGGGUCAGAUGCAGUAUGCUCCUACGCCAAAUGUUAUUGGCCGAAUGCCUGGGCCACAUGGCCCUCCCGAUUAGCGUCAUGGGCCGGUUCCUGGUGCUCAAACCGUGCCUCAAGAUUCUCUUGGUUCUCUUGUUGCGAAUUUUGUGGGCGUCCCGACUGUUCCGCUUGAGGUCCCGUGGCGUACAAAACAUCAUGCUCGAUUUUUUGAUAUUGAUAAUUCUCAGGAUAUUGGAUUGCCUCGUAUUCUCGAUUUUCGUGCUUCUAAUUUUUCGGACACAUCCCGGUAUGACUCGAGUUUUGGCAGUGUGGAUCCUUAUGUUCCCACACCAGUCGGGACUACAUCGUGGUGCCCGGACUCUGGUGCUUCUCAUCAUAUUUGCCAGAAUGCAGCAGAUUUAAAUGCUCCUACUCUUUAUUCAGGUACAUCUGAAUUUUUAAUGGGCAAUGGGGUUAUUUCUAAAAUGUUGUUUGUAGGAGAUACGAUUCUUUCUUCAAAUUCAAAGCUCUUGCGGUUGACUAAUGUGUUGUGUGUUCCAAGUAUUCGCAAGAAUCUCUUAUCUAUGUCGUAGUUUGCUCAGGAUAACAAUGUGUUUUUGGAAUUUCACCCCUCUUAUUGUGUCAUUAAGGACAUUAAGACGCAUGAAAUCUUGUUGCGGGGCCAAGUUCGUGAUGGGCUCUAUCAUUUCUCAGUUGCUUCCCUUGUCUCAUCUGCUCAAGUGGCUGAGGUUCAUAAUGUUGAUGUUCAAGAUUCCUCAUUGAUCCUUGAUGAUUUCACGCUAUGGCAUAAUCGACUUGGUCAUCCGUCGGCUAGGAUUUUUAAUGAUGUUUUAAAUAAAUAUGGAAUUGUUUCUAAUAAAAAGACUCUCACUAAUGUUUGUAUUGCAUGUCAGAAGGGCAAGUCUCAUAAACUGCCGUUUUCUAAGUCCAAUACUGAGUAUGUGGAGUUGUUUGAAUUAGUUGUAUCUGAUUUGUGGGGUCCGGCAUCUGUUGCCUGUGAAAGAAAUUUGUACUAUGUUUCCUUUGUAGACAUGUACAGUCGGUUUACGUGGGUUUACUUGAUUAAACGUAAGUCUCAAGCAUUAGACUGUUUUCUUCAAUUUCAGAAAUUGGUAGCUACUCAGUUUGGCAAGCAAAUUAAGAAGUUUCAAAGCGAUUGGGGUGGGGAGUUUCAUGUUUUUGCGUCAGUCCUUGCUGAUCAAGGGAUUUUACAUCGUUUAUCUUGCCCGCACACUUUUGAACAAAAUGGAGUGGCUGAGCGUAAGUAUCGACAUAUCGUGGAAAUUGGUCUAACCUUACUUGCUCAAGCUAAUCUUCCUAUGAAACAUUGGGGUUAUGCGUUCAGCAGUGCUGUUCAUCUUAUUAAUAGACUGCCUACUUCUGUUUUACAAGGUCAUACAUAGUAUCAAAGACUGUAUGGGUGUGUUCCCCAAUAUGCUUAUCUCCAGAUUUUUGGAUGUUGUUAUUUUCCGUACCUAUGCCCAUUCUUACGUCAUAAGCUAGAUUUUCAUUCUCAGCCCUGUACAUUUUUAGGUUAUAGCUCUCAACAUAAGGGUUAUUUUUGUCUUACUCCAGAAGAGAAAAUGAUUGUUUCUCGUCAUGUUGUGUUUGAUGAGCAUCGGUUCUUGUUUUUGCCUCCGGUGUCGACUAAUGCUGGUCAUUCUAUGCAAACUGUUACGUAUGUUCCUCUUGUUCAUACGUCCCCUUCCACACAUUCGAAACCUCCUGUCAGUUCUUCACAACUUCCUGUUGUUUCUUCACCGUCUCCUGUGCUUGAAUCUGCUUGUGAGGCUAUUCGCUCUGCUUUUGAUUCUCAAUCUGCAACGUGUUCAUUACCAGCAGCUGUGACUAUUCAGUCUGGUGCUGCUAGUACGGGGAAUGUAAGGGGUAGUUACUCUUCCACUUCGGUGUCUUCUGAGCAGUCAAUCCCGUUAAAUGUGCCUUGUGUUUCUUCAGGAAAUACUCAUGCUAUGGUCACACGAUCGAAGGUAGGAAUUUUCAAGCCCAAGGUUUUAACUGCUAUAGCUGUUGAUUUUGAGCCAUGUUUUAUUGAAGAGGCCCUUGCUCAUCCGAACUGGAAGGUUGCUGUUCAAGCUGAAUUUGAUGCACUCAUGGCUAAUUCGACUUGGGACCUUGUACCUUCUCUUCCUGGACGGCGAGCGAUCGAGUGCAAAUGGUUAUUCAAAAUUAAGAGAAAUCCUGACGGUUCUGUUAAUCGACGAAAGGCUCGCUUAGUUGCUAAAGGGUGUUCUCAAAUACCAGGUUGUGAUUUUACAGAAACCUUUAGUCUUGUAGUUAAACAGGCUACUAUUCGUAUUAUCUUGUCUAUUGUUGUUUCAAGACGAUGGCCCCUUCGUCAGGUCGAUGUGAAUAAUGCAUUCUUGAACGGGGAUUUGGAUAAUGAAGUGUUCAUGCAACGACCUCCGGGGUUUGUUCAGUAUGAUUCUGCUGGGCAGCCUUUUGUCUGUCGAUUGAAGAAGGCCUUGUAUAGGCUUCGAAAAGCCCCACGAACAUGGUUUGAUAAACUCAAGCGGUUUCUUGUGUCUAUUGGGUUUGUCGUAUCGAAGUCUGAUACAUCUCUCUUUAUUCGUAUUACGUCUGAUUCCGUCUUAUAUGUCCUUGUGUAUGUCGAUGAUAUAAUUAUCACUGGUAAUGUCUCAACUGUUAUUGCUAAAUUUGUUGAUUAGUUAAAUGCUGAGUUUGCUCUCAAAGAUAUGGGUGAUUUGCAUUAUUUUAUUGGAAUUGAGGUUACCCGCUCGUCUACUGGGUGCCUUCACUUAUGUCAGAAAAAAUAUAUUCGGGAUCUUCUUGCUCGAAGUUCACUCUCCAAUGCCAAACCGGUUCAUACACCUAUGAUUUUCUCCUCUCGAUUGUCCAAAAGUUAUGGUGAUCCGUUAAGUGAUCCUACAAAUACCGGAGUCUUGUCGGAGCCCUGCAGUUCGUUGUCCUUACUCGUCCUGACAUUGCUUAUGUUGUUAAUCAUAUUUGUCAAUUCAUGCACAACUCUUCUACAGUUCAUAUGGUUGCUUUGAAGCGAAUAUUGCGAUAUUUAUAUGGUACGCUUGAUUAUGGUGUUGUCUUUCGCCCUUCUACCCGUUUGUCUCUUGUGGGAUAUGCUGAUGCUAACUGGGGGUUGGAUUUUGAUGACCGCCGUUCUACGUCUGGCUACUGUAUGUAUUUUGGAUACUCGCCAGUUUUGUGGUGCUCCAAAAAGCAGCAAGUCGUCUCUCGCUCUACGGCUGAAGCAGAAUACCAGAGUCUUGCUGCAGCUACUAGUGAUGUCACUUGGUUGCUCUCUCUGCUUCAGGAGUUACAAGUUUCGUCUGCCGAUACUCCUACUAUCUAGUGUGAUAAUUCUAGUUCCGUUGCCGUUGCUGCUAAUCCUGUUCUUCAUUCUAAGUUUAAGCAUGUGGACCUUGACUUGUUCUUUGUUCGGGAGAAGGUUGCCGCUGGUACCAUUGUUGUUGGUAAGGUACCUGCCUGUGAUGAAGUUGCUGACAUUCUUACUAAGCCACUUUCCUUGGCGUGUUUUACUCGGUUUAGACAAUUUCUUAGGGUUUUUCCUGUCGAGCAGCUGGAUGCAUGUUAGAGUUAGUUAUGAAUUGUUAUUCUGGUGCUAUAGUCGUUAAGUCGUUGAGGGAAAGCUAGUCAGUAGCAAUUCUCUAUAAAUAACAGUUGUAAAGUUCAAAGAAAGGCUGGAUAUAAAAUACACAGUAUACUAUCUUUUUCAUUCGUUUCUUCUUUAGUUUCUAUUCAAGAUAGUUCUUAUUUUAGGUUUUAUCAGUUAAAGAAUUACAAGAGACCCAAGAAGCUGGAAAACCUUGAAAUUGGUGGAAUACAGAUUGAAUAAUAGAUGAUGAGAGUUCUAUAUAUCCACAUAUAUAUAUAUAUAUAUAUAUAUAUGUAUGCAGGUUUGUUAUUUAAGUUAAUUUUAACAGGCUUGUUAGUGGGUUAAGCCUUGCCUAAGUUAUAUUUUAAUUAUUUGCUAUUUUCAUGUUAUGUUUUCCUAAACAAAGAUAUAGAAAGGAAUAUGUAAUGAAAUGCCUGGGAUAUUGUAUUUGUCUAAAACUUUGGAUUCUCUUUUCUCUCUUUUCUGUUAGCCUUCUUCUUUUCUUUAUGGGAUUUCAUUAAUUAUCCUACAUCAAAUUGUAUUCAGAGCACUCAAACUUUAAUACACUUACAUAUGCAUAAUCUUGUAAUCAUAUAAAAAAAUAUAAAUUUUAUUCAACAAAAAUAUAACAUAUUGACAAUAAAAUAAGUUUAAACUAGUUGAUAUUGUGAAAAAUAAAUAUAAAUAUUUUUAAAAUUAAUUAAUGCAUUAAAUAUAAGUAAACAAUAUGUAUUGAAUUAAUGGAAAUAUAUUCUUAUAAGGAAAUUAUCUUAAAUUAAUUUUUUUCAUUCCAAAUUACAGCUUAAGUAGCCAAAUUUCCUCCAUUUUUAUAUUCAUUUUAAGCUGGAAUUUUGGCAGUUCAAGCAAUUAUAGAUAUACAUAUAUGGCUAUUUCUUAUAGAGGAAGAAAACAGUCUCUGAAAUAUCAGUGUCUAUAUACAUAUACACGUGAACUCCCUUUUUUUUUUCUUACCAUUUUCCUAGAAAAUUCUAAGCAUUCAUAUCAUUAGUUUCACGGUGCAUACCAAAUAUAUAUGAAGUUUUAUUUCAUUAACAAAAGUGUAAAAAAAAAAUAAUUAUUCAAAUUUUCCGUUUUUAAUUUAUAUUUAUCAUAAUACAAACUAUUACAAUUCUAAAAAUUAAUUACAAAUUUUAACAAGUAAAUAUAAAAUUAAAAUUAAUAUAUUCAAAGCUAGUAAUGAAUAUAAAAACCUUAAUUUUACAAUUUCACAUUUAAUUUCCAUAUAAAUAUUUUUUUAUAAAUAUAUGUUACGUAUAAAAGAAUUCAUCCAUGGUGCAUAAUCUUAAUAUUUAUAAGAUGCAGAAGUCAAGAGACGAAUGUGAGGGAGCAGGCAGGGGCCUUGACCCCCUAAAAUAAAAAAAAAAUUCAAUUUAAUUUUCUUAUAAAUAAAGAAAUUAUAAUGAAAUUACAUUUUGACCCAUUUAAAUAAAUUUUUUAAUUUAAUUCUCUUAUAAAUAAAGAAAACAGUAAGAUUGUAUUUUAACCCCUCAAAAUAAAAAUGUUUAGUCCCUUCAAAAUAAUCAAAUUAUAAAAUUAAUAUAUAAUAAAUUUAUAUUUUAUCUAUAAAAAAUUAUAGUUAAAUUUCGACUCUGUAAAUUUGUCUUUGCUGAAUCGUAAAUCAAAUUGAUUAACUAAGAUAGAGUAAGAAAAGGAAACCAAUUUGGCUAUGUUGAUUACAACGUAGUGACCAAUCAAUCAUGUUUCCUUAAAAGUUUAUUAAGUUUAUUUUUAUUUUAUUUUGACGAAAUAAGCGUAAUUUCUAUGUUUGCAAAGCCUUAGACUUUUGAGAAUGACAUUAACAGAACAAAUGGUAAAUUUAGCAAUUGGUUGAGCAGUGAACUAAAGAAUUAUUCACUUGGAUAUCCCAAGUUGGGAUCUCAAAUCAAAGAUUUUAUUUUUAUACAGAAAGUUAACCACGUCAGGGAAUGUAUCAUAACCAUGUUAGAGGCAGCUGAUAUACUUUUGAUGAAGAGUAACUUAGAGGAUGUGAUCAUAGCAAUACACCUUUCCAGGAAAACAUAUUCUCAUAUUCGCCUUAACUAUAUUUGGGCAUUGGGGUAUAAUAUACUUGGGAUUCCAAUAGCCACAAGGGCUCCAUUUCCAUCAAGUGGAUUUCGUUUACCUCCAUGGAUUGCUGGAGCUGCCAUGGCUGCUUUCUCUGUUAGUGUUGUUUGCUGCUCACUCUUGUUAAAGAAUUACGAGAGACCCAAGAAGCUGGGAAACCUUGAGAUUAGUGGAACACAGAUUGAAUAAAUAGAUGAUGGGAAUUCUAUAUAUCCACAUAUAUAUGUAUAUGUAUAGGCUAGGGAUGUGAAAUUUGGCAAACUAAAUAAUAAAGAUAUCAUGAAAAGACUGGUUUCGCUAGGCUGCCAAAUUAUGUACACAUGUUUGGUGUUAUGAUUUUCAGGAUAUAAUUGUAGUUUCAAAGUUAGGCGAGCUUUGCAUGAGGAUGAAAGUAUUUUUUUUCUUUUAUAAUACUAAUUUUAUCUGGUACGUGAGAUAAAAUAUAUAAUUAAUAAAAUAUAUUUAAAUACUUAAAGUAGUAAUAAAAAUAUAUAAAUAAAUUAAUGCAUGAAGUUUAUUAUGUUACAUUCUAUUACUGUAUGAGUUGAUAAUUUAUCGGAAAAAGUAUUAAGGAAACCUUUAAAUUUAGGACGGACUACAUUUCGACCUCUUUAUUGAAAAACAAGUAAAGUAAUCCUUAUACAUUUAGAAAUAUGCAAAUUAACCUUUCCCUUAAAUUUUAUCUGUUAAAUAAUUGAUGUGAAACGUUAAAUCCAAGCUGAAAAUUAUUUUUUUAUAGGUAAACUAUAAAAAUUGUCACUCAAUUAUGCUUUUCAUUAUAUUUUGGUUACCAAACUAUUAAUUUUGAUUUAGUCAUUAAACUUUUUGAAUUAAAUAUCUUAGUCACUCUAAGCUUUUGUGAUAUUUUUUUAUUGGUCUAAUAAUAAAUUUAGCCCUCUAAUAUUUACAUAUUCUAUCAUUUUGAUCCUAAAUAUAAAAUAUUCAACAAAUUUAGCCAUCAAUGUUUACAAAAUUUAUCAUUUUAGUUCUAAUUUAAAAAAAACCAAUGAAUUUGGCCCUCAAUGUUUACAAAAUUUUUCAAUUUAGUCCUAACUCCGAAAAUUAAAAAAUAUAUAUUUAAAAACAAAUCAUUUUUACCCCUUUAUAGCCCAUUGGCUAAAUCAUGUGAGAUAUUAAAAUAAGAAAAAGAAGUACCCUCUUUCAAGUCACUUGCAACAAUUUCUUUUACUAUAACUUAAGCUUCAAACUAGACCAAACCAAUUAAUUUGGAACUUUUCUUGAAUAAUCGCGAACAUAUAAUGUUUUUAAUGCCUUUAUUUUCUUUUGGAUCUUAAAUUCUUGUGUUUUAUCUAAAUUUUAAGAGUUUUUUUUUGCAAGUGAGUGGAAAGAUGGUACUCUUUUUUCUUAUUUUAAUAUCUUACAUGAAUUUGCUGAUAGGUUAGAAAGGGCUAAAAAUGAAUUGCUUUUUUAAAAAAAAAAUAUUUUUAAAAUUUUAGAGUUAGGACUAAAUUGACAGAUUUUAUAAAUGUUGAGGGCCAAAUUUAAUAAUUUUUUAGGAUUAGACCUAAAAUGAAAAAUUUUGUAAACAUUAAGGGCUAAAUUUGUUGAAUUUUUUAUAUUUAAGAUCAAAAUGAUAGAAUGUAUAAACAUCGUAGGGCUAAUUUUGUUACUAGACCAAUAAAAAAAAGCCCACACUAACUCAAAGUGAUGGAAAUAUUUAAUUUUGAAAAGCUUAGUGAUUAAAUCAAAAAAAAAUUAAUAGUUGAGUCAGCAAAAAAGAACAAAAGGCAUAAUUUGGUAACCAUUUUUAGAGUUUACUAAUAAAAAAUAAAUUUCAGCAUGAAUUUAACAUUCCACAUAAUCAUUUAACUAAUAAAAUUUAUGAGAGAAAUUAAUUUAUACGUUUUAAAAUGUAUAAUAACUUGUUUACUCAUUUUUUUAAUAGAGUAGAUGAAAUGCAAUCCAUGUGAUGCCUUAUACUUUUAUCUAAAUUAUCUUAUAAACUGAAAUUUAAGUUUUUUUUUUUCUCUAAAAUUUAAGUUUUUUUUAACAGGCUUAUUAGUAGGUUAAGCCUGGCCUAAGUUAUAUUUUAGUUAUUUGCUAUUUUCAUGUUAUGUUUUCCUAUACUGAUAUAUAGAAAGGAGUAUGGAAUGAGAUGCCAGGGAUACCGUAUUUGUCCCAAAACCUCGGAUUCUCUUCUCUUUCUUUCCUGUUAGUAAAAACUAAAUAUUUUUAAAUAUUAAUAUUGUGAAAAAUAAAUAUAAAUAUUUUUAAAAUUAAUUAAUGAAUUAAAUAUAAGUAAACAAUAUGUAUUGAAUUAAUGGAAAUAUAUUUUUAUAAGGAAAUUGUCUUAAAUUAAUUUUUUUCAUUCUAAAUUACAGCGUAAGUAGCCAAAUUUCUGCCAUUUUUAUAUUCAUUUUAAGCUGGAGUUUAGGCAGUUCAAGCAACUACAGAUAUACAUAUAUGGCAAUUUUUAUAGCGGAAGAAAACAGUCUCGGAAAUAUCUGUCUCUAUAUAUUUCACGUGAACUCCCUUUUUUUUCUUUUAUUACCAUUUUCCUAGAAAAUUCUAAGCAUUCAUAACAUUAGUUUCACGGUGGUAAAAAAAAACAAUUAUUCAAAAUUUCCGUUUUUAAUUUAUAUUUAUCAUAAUGCAAGCUAUUAUAAUUCUAAAAAUAAAAUUAAAAAUAAUAUAUUCAGUUAAAAAGCUAGUAAUGGAUAUGAAAACCUUAAUUUUACUAUUUCACGUUUAAUUUUCAUAUAAAUAUUCUUUUAUAAAUAUAAGUUACAUAUAAAAGAAUUCAUCCAUUAAUGGUGCAUAAUCUUAAUAUUUAUAAGAUGUAGAAGUUAAGAGACGAAUGUGAGGGAGGGCGGGGACCUUGACCCCUUAAAAUAAAAAAAAAUUAAUUUAAUUUUCUUAUAAAUUAAGAAACUAUAAAUUAAUAUAUAAUGAAAUUACAUUUUGACCCAUUCAAAUGAAUUUUUUUAAUUUAAUUCUCUUAUAAAUAAAGAAAACAGAAAGAUUGUACUUUAACCCCCUCAAAAUAAAAAUGUUUAGUCACUUCAAAAUAAUCAAAUUAUAAAUUAAUAUAUAAUAAAUUUAUGUUUUAAUCUAUAAAAAGUUAUAGUUAAAUUCUAACUCUGAAAAUUUGUCAUUGCUGAACCAUAAAUCAAAUUGAUUAACCAAGAUAGAGUAAGAAAAGGAAACCAAUUUGGCUAUGUUAAUUACAACAUAGUGACCAAUCAAUCAUGUUUCCUUAAAAUUUAUUAAAUUGAUUUUUAUUUUAUUUUGAUGAAAUAAGCACAAUAUUCUAUGUUUGCAAAGCCUUAGGCUUUUGAGAAUGACACUAAUAGAAUAAAUAGUAAAUUUAGCAAUUGGUUGAGCAGUGAACUAAACAAUUAUUCACCUGGGUUGGGAUCUUAAAUUAAAGAUACUAUUUGUAUUUUUAUUUUUAUACAGAAAGUUAACCACAUUAGGGAAGGUACCAUAACCUAGAGGAUGCAGCUGAUAUACUUCUGAUGAAGAGUAACUUAGAGGAUGUGAUCACAGCCAUAUACCUUUCCAGGAAAACAUUUUCUCAUAUUCACCUUAACUAUAUUUGGGCAUUGGGGUAUAAUAUACUUGGGAUUCCAAUAGCUGCAAGGACUCUAUUUCCAUCAACUAGAUUUCGUUUACCUCCAAGGAUUGCUAGAGCUGCCAUGGCUACUUCCUCUGUUAGUGUUGUUUACUGCUCACUCUUGUUAAAGAAUUACAAGAGACCUAAAAAGCUGGAAAACCUUGAAAUUGGUGGAAUACAAAUUCAAUAAUAGAUGAUGGGAGUUCUAUAUAUCCAUAUAUAUAUAUAUAUGCAGGUUUGUUAUAUAUGUAUAGGUUGGGGGUGUGAAAUUUGACAAACUAAAUAAUAAGGUGUCAUGAAAAGAGUGGCUUUGCUAGGCUGCCAAAUUAUGUACAUAUGUUUGGUGUUAUUAUGAUUUUCAGGAUAUAAUUGUAGUUCCAAAGUUUGGUGAGCUUUGCAUGAGUAUGAAAGAUUUUUUUUUUCUUCUAUAAUUCUAAUUUUAUCUUGUAAGUGAGAUCUAAUAUAUAAUUAAUAUAAUAUAUUUAAAUAAUUAAAGUAGUAACAAAAAUAUUUAAAUAAAUUAAUGCUAAAAAUAUUUAUAAUUGGAAUCCAAACUAACUAAUUCAUCAUAACUUGAGUUCAUAACAAAUUAAAUUCAUAAUAGCAUAAGUCAUUUAUUAUUCAAAUAAUCGAUCGACUCUUAAUUCUAUCGAUAUUUGCAUUAUAUAUGUUCUAAACAUUCAAUUAAUUAAAUUAAGUAAUUAUUUUAUCAAAAUAUUAUUAGUAAUAAAUUUAAAAUUAUUUAAUUAUAGAAUAAACAUCAAUAUAAUUUUGAUCUGCUAGUAAAUUAGGAAAUAAUUUACAUAAAGAAUUUUUAUGUAGAACUAAAAAUGUAUAUUGGUUAUAUAUAUAUAGAAAUAAUAUUUGAUAUAUUAUUAGUGGAGUUUUUAGACUCCACAAGCAUUAUCAAGAGUAAUGGUAGAAGAGACGUAAUUACUUUUGCCUUUUUUUUUGGAAGCUUUAUCCCGUCUCCAGGGGUUCUCAUAUUCAACCCCUCUUUUACUUUUUUUUUUUGUACCAAUAACUUUUCUUAACAUGGAAUGUGAAAUAUUUGUCUAAUUUACAUUCUUUUUGCUCAAUUCCCUUUCUAGGUUGCCAAAUAAAAUUGGAUAAUCUAAUUUCUAUUUCAAGGUUCAUCCAUGGGAUUUCAUGAUGUUAUGGUACGCCCCUCUUAUCUUUUUCUUUCUUUCUUUUGUUUUGCUAUUUUUCUUUACAUUUCUCAUUGACUUAGCAGGUUUCUCUUUGAUUCGUAUGAUUGUUUGAUCGUAUAAUGUUGCUUCGAGUUUAGUUAUAGAUCCUAUCUAUUUGUUUUCUCUUUGUCAUUUUCCUUUAGGAGGUAAUCAAGUUAGUGACAAUUUUAGGUAUGAUGGUGUCUAUUACUUUGGCUCUAAUUGCUAGAAACUAAGCUUUGUAAAGCUAGAUUAUUUUAGAAUUAUAAGAUUUUUUUUAAAAGUGUAAGAGUUUAGCAUGCUAUCGUCCAUCUGAAAUACUUGUAGUGAAGGACACUUUAGGAGAUUAUUGAGGAAUCAAUAAAUUUGUUCAAUGUUAAGGUGAACUUUCCGCUGACGAUUUGGUGGUUGGGAUGAUUGAAAAAGCCAUUAAAAAAAACCCACAUGCCAAAAAAGUUCUAUUUUAGAUGGUUUUUCAAUGACUGUGGUUCAGGCACAAAAGGUGCUUUACUUAAUGUCACAUACUAAUAUCCCUUGCAGUUUUUUUUCCCUUUUUGAGUAUUAUGUUGGCUUUGAUACUUCUUGGGCUUUAACCAUGUUUGUUGUCUUGCUUAUACAGCUUCAUAAGAUGCCUUAGAAGCUACUAACUAAGAUUGACAAUGUGUUGAACUUUGCAACCGAUGAUUCCUUUUUUGAGGAGAGGAUCAAUGGUUGUUAGAUUGAUCCUUCUAGUGGUUGAAUCUAGCCCAUGAAAUUUGCACCUUCUGAAGUUCUCAGUGUUGAUGAUGUAGGUUUCCUUUUACUAUAAUUUUGAUUCAUCUUUUCUAUUACUAAAUGAUUAUUGAUAUCAAGUAAAGUUGCAAGCUCCAUUGCAUUAGAUAUAUGGGCUAAUUUGUUAAACUAACUGUGACAUUCGUCAAUGCCCUUAUGCUAUUGUUAGUGUUUGUAAAUUAUAUUGAACGCAUUGAAAAAAAUAGAACUUGCAUUCUCUUUAGGAUAGUUAUAGUUCUUACUUAGUUUUCAUCAACAAUGUCUACACAAAUGUGCUGCCUUUGCACCAUUGGAAAUGAAUUAAAGCUAGAUUCUCUUAAGACAAUGAUAUUUGAAUUGUGCAUGAUUGUUUGAUUGACAUACUUAUGUUCGCUUUGACCUUACUUGUUUGUGUAACUAAGUCCACCUUCAGACUGUAGGAGAUUGAUUGUUGGCUCAAACAAAGUUGAAACUUGUUUGACAGUUGGUGUUAUUUAAGCAAACUUAAUGGGUUCUUCAAAAUAACACUAUUAUGUGGUGAGAUACUGUCGAAGUUCGAUUUCUCCAUACAUAAAUCAGAUUUUGAGAUUGAUCAUAUAUCUUGAAUUGGAGUUAUCUUGAAAAUGUUUCUACUUUUAUUGGUGACAGUGUGGAAUAGAUGCCUAUGCAACUGAUAGGGUGCUUUUUUUAUCUUCCAAGCCUUCUGUAUACGCAAAUAUUAACUACAAUGCGCUAUCUACUACUAUCAGUUGUAGACAGACCUCUAUUGUUAGAUCACUUUUACAGGUAAACAUCUCAGAACAUAGUCAAUCAUGAUCUGUAGCUUCCCACUAGAAUUUUUUUUUUGAAUUUGCACUCUUUGUUACAUGGGAUUUAAAGUGCUAUAUAUGUAUAAGCUUUUUAAUCAAGUUGUUGCUUGUGUACUUAUCUGUAGAGUGUUCUUAAAAGACAUUACUAACUUUUUCAAAAUUGAUGAUCAGACUGGCAUCAAGAUGGACUUAAAGGUAAGAGUUGGAGACUGGUUUUGGUAUUGCAAAAUGGAAAUUCAUAUUGUGGCGAACUUAACUUGUAUAGCCAUGAGCUCACUUGAAGCUGUGAGCUUAUCUAAAGUAGCGAGCUUACAUAAAGACGUGAGCUUAACUCAAGUUGCGAGCACAUUAAAGUGUGAACUAUUAAGGUUUUUGAUAAACCCUCAAUUAAAAUGCAAGUAGGGUUCAAAUAUGCUGAUAUUGAUGUUUUGUUUAGUCUGCUUGUUUGAGAUUAUUUGUUAAAACAAGCAGAGUUAGUAUUAAUUUGAUGUUUUUAGGUACUGAUUUACCUAAUCAGUUAGUGUGCAAGUUUUAUUUUUGCAUUUUCAAGGUGAUUUAGUAGGAUUUGUUGAUUAUUUGUAACCACUAUACGUAUAUAUUGUAAUUCAUGUGGAAUGAGAGGAUGAUGAGAAUUUGGUAGCAAUUCAUCAAUAAAUGCUAAGUAUUGUCAUUGUUUUCUCUCUAUUUUUUAUUGCUCUGUUCUCUCAUCUUCUCAAAACACCAAUAAUUGGUAUUAGAGCCUUAGUUUUUAAGGGUGUUGUGUGUGUUUUUCUUGUUGAAAAGAGUGUUGAUUGUAUCUUGUUUGUAUUGCAAUGUCAUUUAAAAGUUUUACACCACCUCCACCUUCUAUCUUUGCUAGAGAGAACUGCCAUUUUUGGGUAGUAAAGAUGAAAACGUAUCUACAGGCAUAUGACUUGUGGGAAGUUGUUGAUUCAAACAGAGAACCACCACCUUUGUAAGCUAAUCCAACUAUAGCUCAAAUUAGACAGCACAGUAAUGGUGUAUAAUCUUAAUAUUCUUUUAUAAAUAUAAGUUACAAGAUAAUGCUUUAGAAUAACGUAUUUUUAUGUAUAAUGCUUUAGAAUAACGUAUUUUUAUGUAUUAAUCAUGUGUUUAUUCUGAGCUUGAUUCUACUAAUUUGAGCUAUUUAUGUCUUUUUAUCUUUUAGGGACUGAUUUGGAGGCAAAAGCAAAAUUAAUGGAUAAAAGUGCGAAUUUGGAGACACAAUGGGCUGAUAUGCGACACAGGAAAAAGAUUGUGCCAAAAGUGCAAGCAUGGAAGACACAAGGACUAAAAACGCAAAAAGAAGAGAUUUUAUUCUAUAAGACUCCAUUUUAUUAGGAUAAUUAUUAGGAUUAUUUAAAUUUUAGGAUUUUAUUUUAAUUAUCUCUAUUUAUCUUUAAUUACAUGUAUUUAUCUUUUUAGAACUUAAGUUAAAUUAGACUAUCUCCCUAGCACUAUAAAUAGGGGGUGAAGUGACUCUAUUUGGGUUCAUCUUUUUCUGAAAAUACUCCCCCCUGAAAGUCUAGGCUUUUGUUUCUUCAUAUUUUCUUUCAAUAAAAAUUCCCUUUUCCCUUUUUAUAUUUAUUUUCUUUUCCACCAUUAUGAUGAGCCACUAAAACCUAUCUAGCCGAAAGUUGUCAAUAUUCCCCAAAAAAGGGUUCUUGAGGCCUAGAAUCCGUACUUAGCCUUCUCGCCAAGUAUUUAUCGUUUCUCUGCACUACGGGCUGACGCUUCCGUCCAUGGCCCUUAAGAAGUAAACUUUUCAGCAUAUGCAGAGGCGACCGCUUUGUAUGUUUUGGAAGGAUUGCACAGUCGGUUCGUUAACUUACUGCGUGAGAGGUUGGCAAGCCAAAGAGACAAAAUGGGGUGGGAUUCGCCAUUGAGAAGCGUUGAUCUAGCAUAGAUUACUGGCUAGAGUCAGAUUCCCUAAAAAUCGUAAGUCUAAUCUUUGGAGCUGGUGGUCGUAGGCGUCUUCUUCCACUAUAACUAGCUUACUUGAGUUGAGAAGGGUCAUUUAAAAGUCAAGGAUCGAACCCAAGGCAGAAUGAGACAACUAGAGGCUGGAAUCUACCAAUAAGAAUUUCUUUUCUUUUAACUCUCUUUAUUAUUUUUAUUAUUUUCGUAAUCACAAUUUCAAUCAACUUUAGAUUCUGUCUUUCAUUCUUUUCCAAAUUAAAUCUUUAAUUCUGUUAUUUUUAUUUUUUUCUACCACGCAAGUUUUCUUGGGCACGAUUCUGCCUAAGAUUUCGAGAAACAAGCAUUCGUAUAAUCCAAUCCCUGAGGAUUCAACCUACUUCCCCUUUACUGUUCUUUUUCAUUAUUUUACAGGGAAUAGGAUAUUAUUGGUGCUCUCAACUAUGCAUCAAAUUUUGGUGCCGUUACCGGGGAUCGGUAAUGUACUAAUCUUGUUUUUUGUUUCUUAUGACUAGAUCUGCUCCAGGAACUCUUGCGUUUGAUUCAGAGAUUGAAAAGACUACGAGAGCUAAUUGCAAGGAAACAAAGCUAAGAAAAAAGCAGUCAGCGGUGGUUGGGACUUAAAGUAAUCCACCACCAGAAAUCAGAAUCGACGACAAAGCAGAGUCUAGGGUUAACAAAAACCCUACUUAAACUUUUGAAGGUGAAAAAGUAGAAGUCGAUUCCUCAGAAGAAGUGUUUAACAUUAGGGUUGACGAAAACCCUAAUUUAGCACCUCAACCUAUUGCUCAGACAAUUCAGCAAUUGGCCAAAGCACCGACAGAACAACCGCUACUAUGCAUCGCGUAUCCUACUAUGGAUACUGAUUUUGAAUUAAAGUCAGGCUUGAUCCAGCUACUGCUAACUUUUCGGGGUUACAGAACGAAAAUCCUCAUAAGCAUUUGAAAGAAUUCCAUAUGGUUUGCCUUAGUAUGAAACCUCAGGGGGUAACUAAGGAUCAAAUUAAACUGCGCGCUUUCCCUUUUUCCUUAGCAGAUUCUGCUAGGGAAUGGUUAUUUUAUUUACUUCUUGGAUCUGUAACGACUUGGGUUGAUCUGUCUCGUUUAUUUCUCAACAGGUUUUUUCCAGCGUCGCGUACGAGUUAAGAAGAGAAAUCGUGGGCAUAAGGCAAAAAGACGCAGAGACUCUGUACGACUAUUGGGAGUGAUUUAAAAAGUUGUGUGCAAGUUGCCCACAACACGGUAUAAUGGAACAGUCUUUGCUCCAAUACUUUUAUGAAGGCCUGAAACCCAUGGAGAUGAAUAUGGUAGAUGUCGCGAGUGGAGGAGCGUUAGUCAACAUGACUCCACAACAAGCAAGAGACUUAAUCUCCACAAUGGCUGCAAAUUCUCAGCAAUUUCGAGCCAACCCUGAAUCCCCUAGAAGGGUUCACUAGCUAAGUAAUUCGACCUUAGAAGAUAAAUUUGAUAGACUUACUAAUAUUAUAAGCUCUCUUAUUGCAGAAAAAGCCAAACCAGCCCGAGUAUGCGGAAUAUGUGCUACCUUUGAACAUACGACUGAUGUAUGUCCCAGUUUGAAUGAUACUAUGGCUCAUUUAGAUGCUGCGGGAAAUUUUCCUGGACCACAACAAAGGCGAUAUGACCCUUACACUAACACCUACAACCCAGGAUAGAGGGACCACCCUAACUUAAGUUAUGGGGCCAAUCCACGAUAUAACCAGCCAUACCAAAAUCGGGUUCCACAGCAGCCACAAAAUUCAGGUAAUUCUCUGGAAACAUUGGUUAAUAAAUUAGCAGCUAAUAUGCUUGAUUUUCAACAAAAUACCGAGGCAUCUAUAAGAGAAUUGACCAUAUCAAUUGAGAAAUUAAACUUUCAAGGGAAGCUGCCAUCACAAACAGAACCUAAUCCAAGAAAACACGCAAAUGCAGUGACGUUGCAAAGUGGAAAGGUACUAGAACCAAUUCUUGAUAGGAAUCUUGGCCAAGAAAUCACCUAGGAAAAACUCGAAGACGACGAACAGGUCCGAGCGAAGCCUCCACUGCCGAAAAUCCAACCUCCAUUCCCAAGACGAUUAAACCAGUGUCGAAAAAGAUUAGAAGAAAGGAGGAACAACAAAUCUGCAGCCAAACAGCCCCUACUCGACACUUUUGGCCAGCAACUAACGGAUCCCAUUGCCAUCAUACGUAAACGGCAGUAAUAACACGGGGAGUUCCUCUACACCUUUUUCUCCUAUUUUAUUUGUUCCACAUCGGGGACUAUGUGUUUUAAGUAGGGAGGAGGCAUUCCUCAUUAUUUCUGUCUUUUAGCUGCUGAUUUGGUUGUUGCUGCACAUAUAAUUUUUUUUAAUAAUAUUUUGCCUCUUUUCAUGCCCAAGAAUUUGACCACGACUUGCCCACUGUUUGACCCAUAUGCAUGAGUCUUAUCUACUGAGUUAAUUAUGAUUUUUCUUGAUAGAUUUCAUCUCCACUGUUUUAUUUCUUUUAGUUUAAAUAAUUAUGAUUAAUAGAAUUAACCCUAACUUUAUUUUGGUAAAUUUGAUUAAGUCUAAAUACAAGAGGACACUUAAUACAAUUGCAUGCUUAAAAUAUGUUCAUAACUAUUAAGUUGGUUACUAAAACUUAUUUUUGACAUUUGUUUGUUUUUCUAAGUCCUCCAAAAUUAAAAUUUCGUUUAAUAAUAAUAAUGUUUCCGUGGUUAUGAGUGCAGCUUAAGACGUGACUAGCUGAGUAACCGGGAUAGGGUGCUUGGGUUGUCAUCCUAUUUCGCGUCAAAAGGUUGUGUGACGUGUUAGGUAAAACUCCGCUAACCGGAAUUAAUUUCUAAGAAUGUGUUGGGCUGAGUAACCGGGGUGAGGUGCUUGGCUGUCAUCUCUCUUCGCGUCAAAAGGUUCGAUAUGUUUUAGGAAAAAUAAAAAUUAGGAGUAUGUUGGGCUGAGUAACCGGGGUGGGGUGCUUGGCUGUCAUCUCUCUUCGCGUCAAAAGGUUCAAUAUAUUCCUAAGUAAAAAUAAAUAAAUAAAAUUAAAAUUUUAUAAAAAAAAGAAAAAAAAGUCAUAUUAAUAAAAUGUGAGGACUAAAGGUAAAAACGAAUAGAGUGUCUUGAUAGAUUUGGUAAAUUACCUAAUUUUCAUGAAAUAAUCCAAGUCGAUCUUAAUUUAUGUGUGUUAACUGGAACACUUUUUCAAUUUUACUUAAAUCAAGCUAAAGGUUUUCUUUAUUUUUCGUAUGCAUUUUGACUAAUUUUUAUAAAACUUUGGAGUAGAAUUUCUUUCAUGGCAGGAUUUAAUUUUCAUGGUGGACAGGAACCAUACUUGAGGGCAAGCAUGGGCUAAGUAGGGGAAUUUGAUAAUGCUCCAGAAUAACGUAUUUUUAUGUAUUAAUCAUGUGUUUAUUCUGAGCUUGAUCCUAUUAAUUUGAGCUAUUUAUGUCUUUUUAUCUUUUAGGGACUGAUUUGGAGGCAAAAGUAAAAUUAAUGGACAAAAGUGCGAAUUUGGAGACACAAUGGGUUGAUAUGCGACACAGGAAAAAGAUUGUGCCAAAAGUGCAAGCAUGGAAGACACAAGGACUAAAAAUGCAAAAAGAAGAGAUUUUAUUCUAUAAGACUCCAUUUUAUUAGAAUAAUUUAUAUUAGGAUAAUUAUUAGGAUUAUUUAAAUUUUAGGAUUUUAUUUUAAUUAUCUCUAUUUAUAUUUAAUUAAAUGUAUUUAUCUUUUAGAAUUUAAGUUAAAUUAGACUAUCCCCCUAGCACUAUAAAUAGGGGGUGAAGUGACUCUAUUUGGGUUCAUCUUUUUCUGAAAACACUCUCCCCCUGAAAGUCUAGACUUUUGUUUCUUCAUAUUUUCUUUCAAUAAAAAUUCCCUUUUCCCUUUUUAUAUUUAUUUUCUUUUCCACCAUUAUCAUGAGCCACUAAAACCUAUCUAGCCGAAAGUUAUCAAUAUUCAUCAAAAAGGGUUCUUGAGGCCUAGAAUCCAUACUUAGCCUUCUCGCCAAGUAUUCAUCGUUUCUCCGCACUACGGGCUGACGCUUUCGUCCAUGGCCCUUAAGAAGUAAACUUUUCAGCAUAUGCAAAGGCGGCCGCUUUGUAUGUUUUGGAAGGAUUGCACAGUCGGUUCGUUAACUUACUGCGUCAAAGGUUGGCGAGCCAAAGAGACAAAAUGGAGUGGGAUUCGCCAUUGAGAAGCGUUGAUCUAGCAUAGAUUACUGGCUAGAGUCAGGUUCUUUAAAAAUCGUAAGUCUAAUCUUUGGAGCUGAUGGUCGUAGGCGUCCUCUUCCACUAUAACUGGCUUACUUGAGUUGAGAAGGGUCAUUUAAAAGUCAAGGAUCGAACCCAAGGCGGAAUGAGACAACUGGAGGCUGGAAUCUACCAAUAAGAAUUUCUUUUCCUUUAACUCUCUUUAUUAUUUUUAUUAUUUUUGUAAUCACAAUUUCAGUCAACUUUAGAUUCUGUUUUUCAUUCUUUUCCAAAUCAAAUCUUUAAUUCUGUUAUUUUUAUUUUUUUCUGCCAUGCAGGUUUUCUUGGGCACGAUUCUGCCCAGGAUUUCGAGAAACAAGCAUUCGUAUAAUCCGAUCCCUGAGGAUUCGAUCCUACUUCCCCUUUACUGUUCUUUUUCAUUAUUUUACAGGGAAUAGAAUGUUUUUGGUGCUCUCAACGACACAUCAUUACAUAUAAAAGAACUUAUCCAUUAAUGGUGCAUAAUCUUAAUAUUUAUAAGAUGUAGAAGUUAAGAGACGAAUGUGAGGGAGGGCAGGGACCUUGACCCCUCAAAAUAAAAAAAAAUUCAAUUUAGUUUUCUUAUAAAUUAAGAAACUAUAAAUUAAUAUAUAAUGAAAUUGCAUUUUGACCCAUUCAAAUGAAUUUUUUUAAUUUAAUUCUCUUAUAAAUAAAGAAAACAGUAAGAUUGUACUUUAACCCCUUCAAAAUAAAAAUGUUUAGUCCCUUUAAAAUAAUCAAAUUAUAAAUUAAUAUAUAAUAAAUUUAUGUUUUAAUCUAUAAAAAGUUAUAGUUAAAUUCUGACUCUGAAAAUUUGUCAUUGCUAAACCAUAAAUCAAAUUGAUUAACCAAGAUAGAGUAAGAAAAGGAAAUCAAUUUGGCUAUGUUAAUUACAACAUAGUGACCAAUCAAUCAUGUUUCCUUAAAAUUUAUUAAAUUGAUUUUUAUUUUAUUUUGAUGAAAUAAGCACAAUAUUCUAUGUUUGCAAAGCCUUAGGCUUUUGAGAAUGACACUAAUAGAACAAAUGGUAAAUUUAGCAAUUGGUUGAGUAAUGAACUAAACAAUUAUUCACCUGGAUAUUCCAGGUUGGGAUCUUAAAUUAAAGAUACUAUUUUUAUUUUUAUUUUUUUACAGAAAGUUAACCACAUUAGGGAAGGUAUCAUAACCACGUUAGAUGCAGCUGAUAUACUUCUGAUGAAGAGUAACUUAGAGGAUGUGAUCACAGCCAUACACCUUUCCAGGAAAACAUUUUCU
rnacentral:lncRNA from 1 species